UAGGCACUGGGGAUGCCCUCGGAAAUGAU
rnacentral:piRNA from 1 species